UCCAGAUGAAUUUGCAAAUUGCUCCUU
rnacentral:piRNA from 1 species